rnacentral:miRNA from 1 species
GAGCUUGGAUGAGCUGGGCUGA